AAGCAUGUGAUAAAAUUCUUUGCUAAACUGGGGCCUAAGUCAGUGUGAUCUUAGGGUGGAACUCAAAUAACUGCUCUUGCAGGAGGGAGAACGGGCACAAGAACGGAGCCAAAGGUUCUCCUGGGGUGAUGGGCCGGGGUGAGCGGCAAGAGCCCAAACAAAUGGGAAAACGGCGUGAUCGGAGAGAAGGAGGGACUGUAUGACUGGCUCCGUGGCUACGGCUUGGGAGGAGGAAAUUCCUCGUCGGAACGUUGCCAGGAGGAACACUGUGCUCCAAGACUGCGCUUUAAGAAAUGCCCCACGGAGCGGAGCCAAGGGAGUCAUCAGCGUAUUUACUGGACUGUUCUGAGCCCUACACGGUGCCUUAGGAAAUACCUCUCUUCCUGGAAAUCCAUGGCUAGCUGGUAAAACUCUACUGUGUGGAUAAACAUAAUUAAUCUUCACAAAACCCUAGACAUGCAAUAUCUGAACCUGACGUAGCAGGUGGAAAUUGUGUUAUUGCUCAUACAAGGAAAGUUGCCCCACCGACAGAGCUUAAACCUAGGAAAUCCUGUUUGUAAACCUGCUAGGUUUUUGGCUAUGUCUUCUGUUGCUCUUGUGGCCCUUUAUUUUUUCCUUCUGAAUGGGUAAGCAAUCCCAGUUUGCUGACAAAUAACAAAUAUUUGCAAAC